CCCUUAGAUGUUCUGGGCCGCACGCGUGCUACACUGAGUGGAUCAGCGGGUCAGGUUGCGCGAAAGUGUUUCCUAAUCUUGAAAUCCGCUCGUGAUGGGGAUUGACGGUUGCAAUUUUCUGUCAUGAACGAGGAAUACCUUGUAAGCGCGGGUCAUCAUCCCGCGCUGAAUACGUCCCUGCCCUUUGUACACACCGCCCGUCGCUCCUACCGAUUGAGUGGUUCGGUGAGGCUUUGGGAUCUGGAUGGAAAGAGCGUUUCGCUGUUUCUGCCCGGAAAACUCAGUCGAACCUUAUCAUUUAGAGGAAGGAGAAGUCGUAACA
rnacentral:rRNA from 1 species